AAAUAAUCAAUAUGUAUUGUUGUACGUUGUUGUUGCAGUCUAAUUCAGCGCGCUACCAACAGUUUGAGGAUUAACUCAAGAUUCUAGUUUUAGUUAGAUGGUGUUCCCAAUAAGCUGAUUUGAGAACUUCUUUGUACCUAAAAGAUUUAUGUUUAAUAGAAUGGUUUCUGAGCAGACUUUUGUGAUUAGUUUCUUUUUCAGGUGUUGUUUCAACAGUAGUACUACCAUCGUUGGAUGUGCAUCUAUAACUAGUAUAACUAUAAGUUAAGAGUCAACUGCCACUGCCAACUAGAAGCACAACAAAAAAGUUAGGCCAUCGUGACUAAAGUCUAAGUAUAAAAUAUACCAAGUGCUGUUAUUGUUAAAUAGAAUUACUCACUAUUACUAUUAGUACAUGCUUAGCCUAUUUGUUUUUUUUUUACUUACGUGACGUUUGUAAUGUAGGCUAAGAGUAAGACUAAGAACUUUGUCACUCAGUAGAGACCAAGCUACAAAUCCGGACGUUAAAGCAUAAAUAUUUAAAUCUUUAAAAGCCUAACAUUAGUGUUAUGGGUUCAAAAACAAACUCCAGAAAUCGCACUCAUGCAAAUAAUCGUGAUUAUCGUUCUAUGUCUAAAGAUAGCUUGAGACAAGAACUACGAAGUAGAGGUUUGAAAUCAAGCGGAAGAAAGUCUGAAAUGAUUAAACGAUUAGAAAAGUCUGGCAUUUCAAAAAUGGCAGAUGGAGUCGAAGGUAUGAAACAUAGAAGUUUUGAUGGAUCAUCAAAAAAUGGAGAUGUUUCUAUAUCUGGUCAGUUGCAAAAAAAAAUGUAUCAAGUCCGUUCUAGAGAAGCUGAACUAAAGGAGAGGGAAAACAUUGUUUUAUGGAAAAAACCUAUAGUCACUCUACAGUAUUUUAUUACCGAAUUAUUUAUUGACCUUCGAAAUUAUGGAGUGAAGUAAGUAACUUUAUGGCUGUAUUACUUGUUAUGGUUCUCUAGU